ACUCCUACGGGAGGCAGCAGUAGGGAAUUUUCCGCAAUGGACGAAAGUCUGACGGAGCAAUGCCGCGUGAGUGAUGAAGGUUUUCGAAUCGUAAAGCUCUGUUGUAAGGGAAGAAUAGCAAGAAUAGGAAAUGAUUCUUGUCUGACGGUACCUUACCAGAAAGCCACGGCUAACUACGUGCCAGCAGCCGCGGUAAUACGUAGGUGGCAAGCGUUAUCCGGAAUUAUUGGGCGUAAAGAGCUCGUAGGCGGUUUGUCACGUCUGCUGUGAAAAUCCAAGGCUCAACCUUGGACUUGCAGUGGGUACGGGCAGGCUAGAGUGCGGUAGGGGAGAUGGGAAUUCCUGGUGUAGCGGUGGAAUGCGCAGAUAUCAGGAGGAACACCAAUGGCGAAGGCACAUCUCUGGGCCGUAAUUGACGCUGAGGAGCGAAAGCGUGGGGAGCAAACAGGAUUAGAUACCCU
rnacentral:rRNA from 1 species